rnacentral:rRNA from 1 species
UGCGUUUUAAUUUUUAACUCUAAUUAUUGUAGUAUUUUUUCUUUUGUUUCUAUUUUUUAUUUUAAUUUUUUGUAAAAUGUUUUAGUUUAUUUUUGUUUUGAGGAAAUACUUAAAAUUUGUUUUAUUGAACUGGAUUAGUACCCAGGUAAUCAAAAUUAAUUAAUUCGGGAGUAAAGUUUUGUUUAAACCGAAAAAAUAUUGACUGACUUUAGAUUUCUUUUUGGAACAUGUGUAUGGAGASCCCCCCUUUUAAGUAAAUUUUUUUUGCUCAUGUAUGAUUGUUUAGUUUUUAUGUUAUUUUGUAAUGCUUUUUUUUUUAAUUUAAAACAGAUAAAUACUUGGCUAAUGGGUUUAUGAUCAUGUGUUACUAUUAAUAAUUUUUUUUGGAUAGUUUUUAUUUUUUAUUUGAAAUUGGAAAAAAAAGUAAUUAUUUUUUUAUGUAUUAGUGAAUUUAAUAAAUAAAGU